GACGAACGCUGGCGGCGUGCCUAAUACAUGCAAGUCGAACGGUUUAGUUCCAAGAGGCUUGCCUUUUGGAACUAGACAGUGGCGGACGGGUGAGUAACACGUAGGCAACCUACCUGUCAUACCGGGAUAACCUCGGGAAACCGAAGCUAAACCCGGAUAAGCUCCUUUUUCGCAUGAAGGGGGAGUGAAAAGGUGCGACCUGAUGACAGAUGGGCCUGCGGCGCAUUAGCUAGUAGGUAGGGUAACGGCCUACCUAGGCGAUGAUGCGUAGCCGACCUGAGAGGGCGUACGGCCACACUGGGACUGAGAUACGGCCCAGACUCCUACGGGAGGCAGCAGUAGGGAAUCUUCGGCAAUGGGCGAAAGCCUGACCGAGCAACGCCGCGUGAGUGAGGAAGGCCUUCGGGUUGUAAAACUCUGUUGUUUGGGAAGAAGGGAAAGGGUAGGACCCUUAGGUGACGGUACCAAACGAGAAAGCCCCGGCUAACUACGUG
rnacentral:rRNA from 1 species